GCCCGCCCAUUUUUUGACCAAAAUUUAAACUAAUCGUUUAAAUUUUGAGAAAGAAAAAAUAGACGAUCAGAUUCAACCUCUCCCUCUUCUCUCAGAGCAUCGCAACAUAAAGAAAGAGCUCCAUCAAUCCACAGCCUGAUCCUCUUGCUCCUCAGAUGCUCCCUCACAACCUCCGUUUUCAGAUCUCCGAUCUCUCUCCUUCUCCUGAAUCACAAAAACAUCAACUCCCGUCAUCAAUAUUCAAAUACAGAAACAGAUCAAAAAUCGGAGAAAGUGAGUUGAGAGAGAAGAAAAGCGACUUUGAUCGAGCGAAUUACGGUUCUCAAUUGCAGAUGCGGCGGGGACGAUGAUUCCGAAUCACCUACUACUGCAGAUUCUCAUGAUUUACUUAAUGACAGCGCUGUAUUUCUUCAGGUAGUAUCUGAUUGCUCUGAAGUUGGUCUGUUAGGGGAUCAAGAUUUUGCAUAUAUGGGACGUUUUGAGCAGGAGCUAGAAUGCUAAGGUUUCUGAUGAAAUUUGAGGGUCUAGUUUGAACCCAUGAGGAAGAUUUUAAUCGGCUCAAUGUUGAUAUUGGGCAGUUGAAAUGUUCAUUGGAUUCUGUUGGACUGCAGGUUGGUUUUCUGUUGAUAAAAAAUUGUUAAAAUAUGGCAUCAGCCUAUUUGGUGGUAAUAGAGUAAUGCCAGCUUAAUUGAUUGUUAAAAAACUUGGGUUCUAGAAACCAAAAAUUGGUUUAGUUGGUUGCACUUGAGUUUGAUAGGAAUGUCCACAUGAAGCACAAUCUGGUGGUUUUCUGUGCUCCUGUCCCUGAACUUGGUAGAAAAACUCAGCAAUUACUGCUGGAUGUGUUUAAUAAUUUUAUAGUUCCUCUGAUGCGAGAUUGCUAAACCUUUUAAAAGCUUAAUAGUUGUUUUCCUACUGAAGAAUGGUACUAAAUUCCUGGCUAAGCCUACCCUAGAACUAAUUUUUUCAUGCAUAUGAUCAUCUUAUACCAUAUUGCUACUGUAUUGGGUUUUAUUGGAUACCUAUAACCAGAUCUUUUCUCAUGGGGUUGUGCACUUAGGCAUAAUUAUUGUGUUUGUAUGCAUAUUGUAAUUUAGACAUUUCUCUAAAUACUCUUCAAUUGCAACUCUAAUAUCUAAGUUUUCAAAGUUCUCAUCAAUCCAUUGUGCAGUAAACUACACUUUCUAUGAUCUCUUGCAUGUUGUUUCUUUUUUACUUUUCUUUUCGUUCAUCUAUGCAGCUUUUGUAUGUAUAUGUGUUAGUUUAUGUAUAUGUACAUACACACAUCACACAUUGUGUGGAGAUUCCUGACUGUGACGACGUGGAGGUGUAUGUGUAGAUUUAGUUAUCCUACAAACUCCAUCCCACCUUCCUAUAGCCCAGCUUUAUUAAUUCCAGACUUCACUGAUAUCCCUACAAUUUGAUGUUGUUUCACUGGCUGGUCUACAUGUUUCUCUCAUAUCUAUAGUAUACAUAUUAAGAAACAUCAACAUUAUACACUUGUAGCUGGAGCAUAGUUUGGAUUGAGUGGAUGAUAUCUCUGUACACAUGCAAUCCAAUACUAAUCUAUAACAGUUUGCGAGGACAACAAGAUAGAAACAAUCUGCUUCAACAUGUGUGUGUGUAUAUAUAUAUAUGUUGAUGCCGCAGAAAACAAGCCAAGACUAGCAGAAAACAAGCCAAGACUAGCAGCAGUUCCUUCU